rnacentral:rRNA from 1 species
UACGGAGGGUGCAAGCGUUAUCCGGAUUCACUGGGUUUAAAGGGCGCGUAGGUGGGCAGGUAAGUCAGUGGUGAAAUCUCCGGGCUUAACUCGGAAACUGCCAUUGAUACUAUCUGUCUUGAAUACCGUGGAGGUCAGCGGAAUAUGUCAUGUAGCGGUGAAAUGCUUAGAUAUGACAUAGAACACCACUUGCGAAGGCAGCUGGCUAGACGAAUAUUGACACUGAUGCACGAAAGCGUGGGGAUCAAACAGG